rnacentral:tRNA from 1 species
GCGCCCAUAGCUCAGGGGACAGAGCAGCGGUCUUCGGAACCGUCGGUCGGGGGUUCGAAUCCCUCUGGGCGCGUCA